AACGAACGCUGGCGGCGCGUCUUAAGCAUGCAAGUCGAACGGCAAGAGAGGAGCUUGCUUCUCUCCUAGAGUGGCGGACUGGUGAGGAACACGUGGGUAAUCUACCCUUAAGAUGGGGAUAGCUGCUAGAAAUAGCAGGUAAUACCGAAUACACUCGGCAUAUCACAAGAGGUGUUGAGGAAAGGAAGCUACGGCUGCGCCUGAGGAUGAGAUUGGGUCCCUUUUGCUAGUGGGUGGGGGAAAGGGCCACCAAGGCGACGAUGGGUACCCGGCCUGGGGGGGUGAACGGCACAAUUGGACCUGAGAUCCGGCCCAACCUCCUACGGGAGGCAGCGGCUAAGAUUUUUCCGCAAUGGACGAAAGUCUGACGAAGCGACGCGGCUUGGAUGAAGAAGUCUUAGGAUUGGUAAAAUCCUUUUGUUGAUGAAGAAUAAGGGUGAGAGAUAAUGCUCAUCUGUUGCCGUAACUAGACAAAUAGGCCCCGCCUAAUUCGGU
rnacentral:rRNA from 1 species